AUUGAACGCUGGCGGCAGGCCUAACACAUGCAAGUCGAGCGAGCGGCGCACGGGUGAGUAUUGUCUGGGAAACUGCCUGGUAGUGGGGGAUAACGCCCGGAAACGGUAUCUAAUACCGCAUACCAUCAGAUGUGCCCAGAUGGGAUUUGCUAGUAGGUGGGGUAACGGCGCACCUAGGCGACGAUCCCUAGCUGGUCUGAGAGGAUGACCAGCCAAACUGGAACUGAGACACGGUCCAGACUCCUACGGGAGGCAGCAGUGGGGAAUAUUGCACAAUGGGCGCAAGCCUGAUGCAGCCAUGCCGCGUGUGUGAAGAAGGCCUUCGGGUUGUAAAGCACUUUCAGCGGGGAGGCGUUACCCGCAGAAGAAGCACCGGCUAACUCCGUGCCAGCAGCCGCGGUAAUUC
rnacentral:rRNA from 1 species